rnacentral:rRNA from 1 species
UACGAAGGGGGGCUAGCGUUGCUCGGAAUCACUGGGCGUAAAGGGUGCGUAGGCGGGUCUUUUAAGUCAGGGGGUGAAAUCCUGGAGCUCAACUCCAGAACUGCCUUUGAUACUGAGGAUCUUGAGUUCGGGAGAGGUGAGUGGAACUGCGAGUGUAGAGGUGAAAAUUCGUAGAUAUUUCGGAAGAACACCAGUGGCGAAGGCGGCUCACUGGACUGGUAUUGACGCUGAGACGCGAAAAGCGUGGGGGGAGCGAAACAGGG